rnacentral:rRNA from 1 species
AUGGCGAGCAGGACGGCGGGGCGGGGCGGGAGGCCGCUGCUGGGCGGCGGCGCCGGGGGCGGGAGGCGCGGGAAGCCGUCCAAGGCGAUCCUGGCCGCGCUGCUGCUGGCGUCGGUGGCGCUGCUGCUCCUCCUGGCGCUCGGCGCGCUCUCGCUGCCGGCCGGCUCCGGCCGCGGCGCGGUCCUCUCGCUCCCGCGCCCGCGCUUCCGCAGAUCCGCGUCCGAGUCGAGGCUGGAGAAGCGCGGGGAGAAAGGGGAGCCCUGGACGGAGGUUCUGUCGUGGGAGCCACGGGCGUUCAUCUACCACAACUUGCUCUCCAAGGAAGAAUGUCAGUAUUUAAUUUCAUUGGCAAAGCCUCACAUGAAGAAGUCGACAGUGGUUGAUUCUGCAACUGGAGGGAGUAAAGAUAGCAGGGUGCGAACGAGUUCAGGAACAUUUCUUAAAAGAGGCCAGGACAAAAUUGUUCGCACCAUUGAGAAAAGAAUAUCAGAUUUCACCUUCAUACCUGUAGAAAACGGAGAGGGCCUUCAAGUUCUCCACUAUGAGGUUGGACAGAAAUAUGAACCUCACUUUGAUUACUUCCAUGAUGAUUUCAACACCAAAAAUGGGGGCCAGCGUAUAGCCACUGUUCUUAUGUAUCUUUCGGAUGUUGAAGAGGGCGGUGAGACCGUGUUUCCUUCUGCUAAAGUUAAUAGCAGCUCAAUACCAUUUCAUAAUAAGCUGUCUGAAUGUGCAAAGCGGGGUAUAUCUGUCAAACCGAAGAUGGGAGAUGCAUUGCUUUUCUGGAGCAUGAGGCCUGAUGGAACCCUGGAUCCCACAAGCCUCCAUGGUGGUUGUCCAGUGAUAAAAGGUGACAAAUGGUCAUCUACAAAGUGGAUUCGUGUUCAUGAGUACAAAGUUUAG